rnacentral:rRNA from 1 species
UAGGGAAUCUUCGGCAAUGGGGGUAACCCUGACCGAGCAACGCCGCGUGAGUGAAGAAGGUUUUCGGAUCGUAAAGCUCUGUUGUAAGAGAAGAACGAGUGUGAGAGUGGAAAGUUCACACUGUGACGGUAUCUUACCAGAAAGGGACGGCUAACUACGUGCCAGCAGCCGCGGUAAUACGUAGGUCCCGAGCGUUGUCCGGAUUUAUUGGGCGUAAAGCGAGCGCAGGCGGUUAGAUAAGUCUGAAGUUAAAGGCUGUGGCUUAACCAUAGUACGCUUUGGAAACUGUUUAACUUGAGUACAAGAGGGGAGAGUGGAAUUCCAUGUGUAGCGGUGAAAUGCGUAGAUAUAUGGAGGAACACCGGUGGCGAAAGCGGCUCUCUGGCUUGUAACUGACGCUGAGGCUCGAAAGCGUGGGGAGCAAACAGGAUUAGAUACCCUGGUAGUCCACGCCGUAAACGAUGAGUGCUAGGUGUUAGACCCUUUCCGGGGUUUAGUGCCGCAGCUAACGCAUUAAGCACUCCGCCUGGGGAGUACGACCGCAAGGUUG